UACGAAGGGGGCUAGCGUUGCUCGGAAUCAUUGGGCGUAAAGCGCGUGUAGGCGGCUCGAUAAGUCUGCUGUGAAAGUUCAGGGCUCAACCCUGAAAUGCCGGUGGAAACUGUCGAGCUAGAGUCCGGAAGAGGCGAGUGGAAUUCCUGGUGUAGCGGUGAAAUGCGCAGAUAUCAGGAGGAACACCAAUGGCGAAGGCAGCUCGCUGGGACGGUACUGACGCUGGAGACGCGAAAGCGUGGGGAGCGAACAGG
rnacentral:rRNA from 1 species